AAACCAUUAAUCAACAAAUCAUCAACAAGAUAAAACUCAGUGUCUUUUCUUGUACUUUUGUACAUGAAGGACGGUGCCUGGUUAUUCCAGAGACACUAUAACCAGAAGAAAAAUGCUGCUGACUUCCUGGUGCCACCCCAUGGACCUUGCCCAGCUCAGCCUCCACCUGCACCACUGGAUAUGAGAAGCGAUGAGUCCCAUUUUGUCCAUCUUCACCAUCCUCGAGGGCUGGUGACAGGGGCUGCAGGCUCCCCAUGCCCCUGCCAGAGAUGUGCCCUCUGACCAGCUGAGGGAUGUCACACCUGCUGCUGAGGCACCAGCUGCUGAGCACCUGGAGAUGCAUGCUGGCCAAGAGGCCAAACCUCCAAGGCUACCCCUGAGUAUUUUGAAUGAAGUUACUCUGAGGAGAUGAAGCUCUGCUCUCAGGUGGCAUUUUACCAUAAUAGCAAGGGAUUUGGGAAACCUGAUUUUGUUCCUGGCCCUGCCAUUUAUCUUCUGCACAGCGCUGGGCAAGUCCUUUCUCCAUGCACAUCCCUCUUCUGAAUUAAUGGCGGAAGAGAUGACUUAUGGCAAUGAUGGGGUUGGUUGGGUCUACAUUGUAUGCGUACAAUAAACAGCAACUGCAGAAAGGCUUGACUUUUUUUUAUUUAUUUAUUUUUAUUUUUUAGAUCUGCUUGGCCAGAUCUAGUGUUAACUAGAGAUGGAAAUGUGUGGUAUGUUGAGGUUUCUCCACUUCUACUCUCUCAUUACCUUCACUGGAAAAUUGAGUCUCAUCAGCUGGGGAGCAGAAACAAGAGGACACAGCAAAUCCCAACCUGCCACUGCAACUAGAGCAUUCGUUAAAAAUGUUCUGAAACCCACUCAGAGAGUCAAAAUAAACCCCAGCUUAUCUCUCUGCUUGCUUUAGAUGGUAAGAAUUUGUUGUGGACUAGACCUCUACUCAGAGAUGUCCUGGAGUAGAGAGCAAUGCUUCCUUUCUGGACAGCUGGACAGCUUACUUCUGACAUCCACGUUUGGGAAACACUCAGCUAUAUGUAAGUGCAGAAGCAUGUCUCUGCGAAACAUUGACAUUUUCGGGUAGGCUGAGUACUCUGCAAUGAAAUCCAAGAUACAGUGCAGUCAGUGGGUGGCCUCUGACAAAUUUUAAUGGGCUCUGGAAUAGGGCCCAACCAUAUCACAAAGAACGGGAGAAGGAGGCUUUGGUUUAGCCAAAUAUCUGAGCAUGUGCUUAACCAUUGAAAUUAAUGAGAAUUAAGCAUAUAAUUGAGUCUUCUGCUGACCCUUUCCUUAACCACUAAGUAAAAAAUACUGUCCUGCAGACACUCUACUUAAAAGGGGGAUAUGCCUUUUAUAUGACAAAGGGGGACAUGGCAUUUAAAACAGCAGAUUCAUUUGAUUUUCUAGUGACAUAGAAAAAGCAGAAUUUGGCCCUAUGUUCUUUGGAACAAGGAAACUUUGAAUUAUUACUAGAUGCAUCUUCUCACUGCAUCAUUUUGCAUGAUGCAGGUUAAUGGCUGCCUGCUAGGAAAGAUACCUUACCUGCUUCAGUCAUCUAACAGGAUUCUUGGCAUUCAGCUCAUCAGAGGGGUUGUUUUUUUCAACCAUAUUUCUGUAGGAAUGCAUCUUUUAAGUAUCCUGCUGCAUUGUUUUGAUGCAACCCUCAUAUCUUUUCAGCUUAUUGUUUCUGCAAUUCCUUUUCUCCGUAUAUCAAGCUAUGUUGCUGGGUGUGCUUUUUCUAGCAAAUCUUCAAGGAAGAUUAGGGAAAAAAAAAAAAAAAGCUAAUAUAUCUUAUGCCUUGAAAAUUUCAGGGUCAAAACAGAUUUUAAGCGUUGAUCUUCUUGCACUCGCUGAUGAAUCUUUUUGACCAAGCAGCUGGUGUAUCAGAUCUAGCUGGCAGCACACAGAGCACAUUAGGAAAACAAAGAGAGUGUGAGAUUAAGCUGAAAAGAGGCAAGAGAGGCAUUUUCUCACUGUUCUGCAUGAAGGCAGAAGAUGCUUCGAGAGGAUACAGCCUCGAUUUUCUUAUUGGAACUAUGGCCUCUUCCCCCCAUCAGAUUAUUCAAAGGUGCUGCUACCACUGAAGGAGAAGGAACACACCCAUCCAAGUGAAGCCCACAUUAACCAAAUGGUUAAAUGAAGACAAAGUCAAAGUAUGUACACCAUUUUAAGUCAGGUCACUGGGCAGAGGUUGACCUUGGUCAGAAUGUCUCCACAGACCUAUCCCUGGCUGCAGGCCACUUUGGUGGUCUUGCUGGAGAACGGAACAGGUGCUUUGGAUGUUUCAUCCAGCUAAUAUGGGUCUUUGUUGUGACACUUACAAUGUCUUAAAGGCAAAUUCCUAUGAUUAUUCAAAAUUCUAACCAGUUAUUGAAAGCAGCUUUUAGGGGAAAAAAGAAAAAAAAUGAAGAAAAAGAAUGUCGUAUUUAUAAGACCUAUCAUCAAUCAGACAAAGAAAGAAAGAACAGAACCCAUCCACCCUGGAAAGCAAAUGGUGAUAAAGAUCCCAGAUAAAGUCACUCUUCUCAGCGGGCAGCAAGUCUGAUGAACUGAGAUGGAAAGUCCUUCUCAUUGAUUUCAGUGGAAAAAAUAAUUGACUUUGAACUCUUCGAAUAAGUUGCAAUCUGUAUUUAAUUUCUUGUCCAGGGAAGAGAAUGUCAUUUUGUUUUUCUUGUGGCUCCUAUUAGCUUUAAUAUCAGUUGCACAACUGAUUCCCUUGCAUCAAGCUCCAAAUUUACCCCUGAUGUCAGUGUGCUUAGGACUGAAACAAAAAUCUCUCAGUUGCUUAAAGGAUCAUGCCAUAAUACCACAUUUAUUAAUUCAAAAUCUCUUUCGUCCAUACAUGCACAAAUGGAGCUGAGUAUUCAGAGGAAAGUGUAAAGACUGUAAUUUAACUUUUCGACAUUAAUGCAGCCUAUUAACUGGAAAUGUUCUUGCGGUCCUAGCAAACUUAUACGUUUUUGCCCUUGAACUGCCUGAACAGAGCUAUUCAGCACAUCAGGCUGUCAAGGUCACAGAUCCAAGCUGCUGAUUUUGUUGCAGGGCCAAAUUACCUUUUGAAUAACAUAUAUACAGAUUUUGGGUUUGUCAUCAUCAGUUCAGAUGUGGACAGGGGACCCAAAACCAGAUGGCCCCUGUGGAUGCCCAGAAGAACCCCUGCAGAGUUUUGUCAUGGGGAUCAAUUUGGGUGAGAUUCCCUUAGUCCCAUAUAGAAAUAGUCAUCUGAAGACAAAGGCAGGGUGCUUGGGUUUGUGCCUGUUGCAGUAUGAAGGAUGUGGUCUGAUCCUGCAGAGCCUCCUGAAGUAGAAGUCUCACAUGUGCACUACUCUCCACACGGUGAGGGCAACAUCAUUGAAGUCAAGUGAGAACAGAAUACCUCUAAGUCUCCUUCUGUCCAGCUCCCUGCUCCUGACAGCAUCCAGCACCCACACAAGGCAGCCUGUUGAAGCCAUCCUUUGUCUCUGAUCUGGGACAGUCUGUGGGUAUGAUGGUGACAAAGACCCCCUUAACAUGUUCCUGCAAUGCCAAGGUCACCAUCAGAAACUCUACCAAUGAAGAAAGCAAAUAGCCAGGAUGAAGCAUUCCUCUUGGGAAGACAUACUGAAAAUCCUUCUGGCAUUAAUUUCUGUGCUGUCUGGCGAUUAGCCAUAGCUGGGCUACAAAGCGGAUGGGAACUCUCGUUUGGAAGGUUGGAUCUGAACACACUGAUCCUGUGGAGGAACAGGAACUGAGGCACCUUAAAAGUGAGGAGCUGAAGGUCUGAUUCUAUGGAGCACGUUGUUCUUCUUCCUAGGAUGAAUUCAGCAAAAAUGGAAAGAAGCUGAAAGACCAUUAGAGCUGCCUGUGUUUGAAACUUUCACUUUGACCCUUCUUGCAAGUUUGCAUUUUUCCUAAGGAUGGAAUAUUUGCACCCUAGGUUACUGAUGGCUGUGAACAAAGAAAUAACAAUUUUCCUCAGCAGCCCAGUGUGAUGGAGAAAUUAUGAACUUAUUUAAACUGCACUGCUUGAAAUGCUUUUAGCUAGCUGUUAAGCUCUGCCUUUAAGUUUACAUAAAGAAUUAGGAAAAGUUUACCUACUCCAACUUGACCGUCUGAGGGCAGUGUCACCUAAUACUUGCUAAAAGUGAUGAUGUCUGGUCACUGCAUACUAUCUGCGCUGCACCCACCCUGUGAGGAUGUCAUCCUAAACUCACAGAUGUCAAAGAGAGACUUUCUUCAGAUCUUAACUGCAUCUUGGACUUGAAUACUUUGCAGUCACUCUCCUGGGCCACAGUGUUUACUGAUGUAAACAUUUAACUGCACAGAAUAAGUUGUCCUUCACUUAAUUUUGUCUUUGUAUUUAAAGGCAAACAUAUGUUUUGGAGCACAGCAAACCAUGUGUCCUUCUUGUGGGUGCUUACAUUAAUUACAUGCUUCCAGGCACUAUCUCCUAUAUUUCCAUCUCAUCCUGAAACAAUGCCUUCUGUUUGUGGUCAGAACAUGUGUUUUAGGUAGGAGGAGAUGGGAAAUCCUAUGGAAGGGACAUCAGAAGAAAAAGAAAUACGUGUCUUCUGGAAUGGGUAGACCCUUCAGUUUUCUCCUCUGGACUUGAGGUGCAUAGUAUAGGGAUGACGUGAAAAGGGGGAUGGCACCAGGGUGAUGGUGAUUUAUAUCAGCUAAGAACCUGACAUUAUAUUUAUGGUUUAAGUAGGCUAGCUGUGAGCAACUGAAUAGUGUCGUGUGUGUUUGAGCUUAUGUACAUACGAGGUCACAUAGGAUAUAAAGUACAUUUACAUACAAAUGUACCUCAAACCUAAUCCUUCCUGUUUUGCUCAGACAGUUCAAUGUGAAUACCACACACUUAUAAGUUCCUCUUUAAACUGUAACAGAAACUAUUGCAGUGUGAUUUCUUCUGGUGGGUAAUGUCAUAACAAGCUGAUUUUGAGGAGACAAAAAAAAAAAAAAGAGAGAAACAAAUGAUUCAGUACCUCUCAGUCCUUCUCUAGCAACAAAACUAUUUGACUGCAAAGGUCUAAUCUAUGUAAAACAAUUAAGAGAAGGGAAAAUAAUAAUUUCGAAAGAGACAUGUAAGAAACCCAAAGGCAGUGGUGAUCAGCACAGUAAUCCCAAUGUGUUAGAGUUGAUCAGCCUGAACCUGUUUCCUACUUAAAGCAUUAAAUGUAGGAGGAUCUUUCAUAUUUUCCAGAUGAUUAGUGCUGAGAAAUCACACUGACUGCUGAAGUACAGUGAUAGAUACAGGUGGGUGCUAACAUAGAGGUACACUUGUUUAAUUAAACACCAGUCUAUCAGAUGAUUUCUAGUGGUUGUUUAGGCACCAAUGACCAGCCCUGGGCACUCAUGUCAAUUCUAAAUGCACUGGAGAACAGUUAUGGAAAUAGCAAAAUCUUACUGGAAAACUGAUGUCUGGUGGGUGGGAAGUUGGCUCAACCCUUUCUCUUCUUUCAUGCAUUUUUAAAGACCUGAUAUCAUGUGAAAACACUUGCAAUAUUGAACUGGAAUCAGAAACAUCUGGUUUAGGGUAGUACAGGCAGUGGUGAGGGAGUUGUGUCACUUUGUCCAGACCAAUUACUAAAUUACAGCUUGUCCCUCAGGUCCCCAUUAAGAUUCACUGGAGCUCCCUACGGCUGCAGCUUCCCCUCUGGGGAGCCUUCCAGCAGCUGCUGCUUUUAGCAGGCUGUUCUUCCUUCUGCUCCUUGCCUUGCCUAUGAGUGGGCUCAGAAGUCCUUGCCUUCAUGGUGAGGGUCAGUCUUUACCCACUCCCCUGUCCAGGCUCCCUCCCUUGGCUGAUGUCUCAGAAGCACUACAACUGUGGGUCAGGGAAGAGAAGAAGUGCUGAGUUUCCAAUGCUUAGUCUUUCUUCUCUCUGCCCCAAGGCUCUUGUAAGGGCCAAACACGGCCUUGAUCUGUGAGGGAAGCACCAGCGGCUCUCCCGGAUGCCUGCACCCACAGUUUUGUCUGUAUCCAGAGCUGUAAACAUCACCCUGAGCACUUUCUCAGGACGGACAAGAAAAACAAGCUGAUUAUGUGACAAAAAUACCCAAAGUCCUGUUUUAAUAAAACUUUGGAGAGCGAGGUCUGUGGGAGACACGAGCAGGACUGGAACCAGCCCAAGGCUGCACCUGUCCCAUGCUGGGAGCCCCCUGUGUGUGGGAAGGGGGAGAUUGUGGGCUUAGGGCUCAUGCACUGAUAGCAAUGGGCAGCUUUGCUGUGUUUUGAUGGGAAUUGUACACAGAGUGCUGCAGUUCUUAAUGAGGGGUCUCUCCCUCUCAUUUCCCUAGUGGAGGAAGGGUCUCAUCAUGGUGACUGAACUUUAGUAAAACUUUGUAAAUCCACAAAGAUUUGUGUCCAGUUUCCUCCACGUUAGUGCACCAUUCCCAGUCACUUUUGUGUCACUCAGGUUGUAUAGCUGUAUAUGGCUGCCUUUUUGGUUGCUUUUGCCUGCUUUAAGAAAUGCUGUUCGAAAGAGCCAGCCAGGAUCCUACCUCUGACUUUUGUUUCACACCUCUAGUCACAUCACUAAGUAGAACCCCCCAGAUUGUGUCUCUCCUGGUUAUUUCUUUGAUGACGUUUUUUCCUACCUUACCUCUUAUUGGUUUUCCCACCACAGUGCUGCAGCAUUUAGCAUCUGGCCUAAAGAGUUUUUUAACCUCAUUUCCUUGAGUAAUGAUCUACACCAGUCAUAAAAAGGAGAAAUCUGAAGAAAACCACAGGUGAUGGUAUUCUUAAAGCAGAUGAUUUUAUUUUUUGAAGGGAAAAAAAAAUAGUGGUGAAAUAUUUUCCUGAAAAACACAUUGGAAUACCUUGUGCAGCAUAUUACCUGUACACAAAAUAGGAUGUUCAUACUAAGGUGAACCACUGUGCUCUUAGGGCUCCAUGCCAAUUUGCUUGCUGAUCUUCAUAUUGCCUGGGAGAAAAAGAGAAGAAGGUGGGAGGAGGUGAUGGGCAGAGGCCAUUGGCACCAGAGGGAGAAGGCUGAGAUCUGGUGUUGGAGCAGGACAGGACCACAACUUUUCUUCUGUUGGUCACAGGGAGUUUCAAACUUGAAAUUGUUUGUGGAGUGAAGCCAUGAGCUGGCCAGAUGGAAAUAAGUCUCCAUACCAUGGUACAUGGAAAAACGAGUUCAUCAUGUUCUGUCUUCACUUUGAAGCAUUCUUGGCAAAUUUAGCCACAUCCUGGAAAGAGUGGAGGGGAGGAAGAGCAGAGGGGAGCCAGUAGGCAAAUGGGGCUAUGGAGUUUGGUUGUACAAUGCUUAGGGAAGCUGUUCAGCUUCAAAGGAGAAUGCCUGGUUGCUGAGACAGAGUGUACAAAAUAAUUAUGCUUAUUUUUUGAACCUCACCACCACUUUUCAGUAUUUCUUUUACCACUGUUUUUGUUUUUGUUUUUCUGCAGAGUAUAGUGGCAAGAAUCCUUCCCCGACAAUGGGGUGUAAUGGUUGCAGCUAGAUCUGUGGCAGGUGGGGCUAACUAAACAGUUGGGAAAUAGCACUGCUUUCAUGAUUGGUGUCAGAAGGUAAAACACAAUAAACUCUAUUUUUGAUAUUACA